AACUCAUCAACCCUGUGAACAUACCUAAACGUUGCUUCGGCGGGAACAGACGGCCCCGUAACACGGGCCGCCCCCGCCAGAGGACCCCCUAACUCUGUUUCUAUAAAUGUUUUUUCUGAGUAAACAAGCAAAUAAAUUAAAACUUUCAACAACGGAUCUCUUGGCUCUGGCAUCGAUGAAGAACGCAGCGAAAUGCGAUAAGUAAUGUGAAUUGCAGAAUUCAGUGAAUCAUCGAAUCUUUGAACGCACAUUGCGCCCGCCAGUAUUCUGGCGGGCAUGCCUGUUCGAGCGUCAUUACAACCCUCAGGCCCCCGGGCCUGGCGUUGGGGAUCGGCGGAGCCCCCCGUGGGCACACGCCGUCCUCCAAAUACAGUGGCGGUCCCGCCGCAGCUUCCAUUGCGUAGUAGCUAACACCUCGCAACUGGAGAGCGGCGCGGCCACGCCGUAAAACACCCAACUUCUGAAUGUUGACCUCGAAUCAGGUAGGAAUACCCGCUGAACUUAAGCAUAUCAAUAAGCGGAGGGAAAAGAAAAGGUGGAAUGUGCUGUG
rnacentral:rRNA from 1 species